CUCCAUUUCAUUUUCUGGUUCCCAGGCUAUACACAUUUCGGCAGAUAGAGAGGGAGAGAAAUUUCAGCCGGCCACCACUCCUCCAUUCUCCAACCCCAGCCGUGUACCUCCAUCACCACCCCGAGCAUCACCACCGUAGUCCAUCUCUUCACCACCGGAAUCCGACCGCCGCCGUACAUUCCAAUCACUACCGUACAUCGUCAUCUCCAUUAACCGGGUCACCACCAACCGAGUUCUACCGCCGCUCCGACCCGCCACCGAAUCUCUCCGAAAAUUGUUUCGCCGGACGAGAGGUACCGAAGAUGGAACAGAAGUGUCGUACGAUUCGAUAGAGUUAAAUCCUAACGAGGAAGAAGCUGAAAACUUUGGUUUCCGUGCGCAUAGUCGCUCUGAUUAAUUUAAGUCUACUUUAUUUUGAAAGCUUCUAAGUUUAUUUGGAUAUUGUAAUAUUUUGAUUUAUUCGAAACGGUUGUAAAAUAAUGACAUUUGCUUUUGAAAUGGUGACGCAGUAAAUCUAUGAAUUUCUUUUGUGAAAA